AUGUUCCUGCUGCUCACCCCAGUCCUUCAAAUACUUUUUGCCUUGAGAGAAGCCAGAGCCCAGUCAUUGAGCCAGCCCCAGGUCCAUAUCUCCAUCUCUGAAGGAGCCUCCCUGGAGCUGAGAUGCAACUACUCCUAUGGUGCAAGUGCUUAUCUUUUCUGGUACAUCCAAUACCCCAGCCAAGGCCUCCAGCUUCUCCUGAAGUAUGUAUCAGGGGACAACCAAGUUAAAGGAAUCAAAGGUUUUGAGGCUGAAUUUCAGAAGAAUAAAUCUUCCUUCAACCUGAGGAAAUACUUGGUCCAUUGGAGCAGCUUGGCUGUGUACUUCUGUGCUCUGAGUGACAGUGUUUGGGACUCCAGGGGGAGCUGA